CUUUGUUGCUGCCAUGGGUAAUGAACUAUGGCGUCUUACUUUAGUUCGUUGAUGUUGGCUGCCAGAGAGGCUAUGGGUAAUGAACUAUGGCGUCUUACUUUAGUUCAUUGAUGUGGGGUUUCGUUUUGACUGUGGUUUUGAUUUGCUUUAUGGUUGUUACUCGUAUCCUGCAGAAGAGGAGGCAAAUGGCUAUAGAAGACACCAUUCUUACAGUGGAUCAAUUGAUAGUGGAAACGUACAUGAUGACGUCUCAAAGCUUGCUGCUCAAAGGUUUUCGGUGACACCGUAAACCCACUUUAUUACAAAACCCACUUUAUUAUAAGAGAAACCGAUAUGAUUUUCGUGUGCUUCUCAUGUAGGAUAUCAUGAAUAUUUUGAUCAUGAAACGGGUCAAUUCAGAUCGUUGUUGAUGGUAUUUGGAAGGUAUGCCCUGAAGCUGGUGGUCCGAUCCAGUUUCUUAUUCCUCCUACAAUCACAUAAGAUACGUUCAACUUGGAGAUGCUUGAUCAGGGUCAAAACGGAGUGGACCAUUCCAAGCGUGUUUCUAUAAUGAUUGAUAACUCACUUAGUCGUGUUCACACACUUGUCCAGAUCUUUUGCUGUGAUAUCUAAUGAUAUAAUGAGAACUUAGAAGGAUUACAACAUCCAGGUAUUAAUCUAAAAUAUUUGUCAAAUUAUGUGAUAUGCUUUGAAGGGUGUUUUAGUAAUUAUGUACACUUUUUGUAACAUAUCCCAUACUAGCUCUUUACUAUGAAAAAAAAAAAGAUUAUGAAAUCGAGGGCCCAUGUGGUUUACGAAAUUUCCCAUGCUCUCAAGAUGCUCAUUACCAACAUUUUCUUAGUAUAACCUUUUUUGCCCUCUUUACCAACCCUGCAUUUCAUGUUAUAUUUGUCUAUGUGGUUUUUCGAGUAAAUAUUUUAUAUGCUUUUUCAAGCAGAAAUUAGUAGGGAUAUAAUCGGGGGCAGGGUAUGGGAAUUUGCCGCAUCACUUGCUAAGAGCCUCUGCAUUAGUGAUGGUCUUAUAGUUUUAGUUUUAGGUGGUACGGGACACAAUUUGGUCCAACUCGGUUGAACCAGGACCGACCCGUAGCUUUUGGUCAGGCGAGAUCCAUUUGUCUAUGUUGGUGCUUAGGUUAUAUUAAGGUAAGGAUGAGUCAUGGGGUUUGACCUGGUGUUAUGUGACCACCCUUUCCCUAACCAUAUUUAUAUUUCCUUUUAAAGGCAAUUUAAGAUCCUUUAGUAUAUUGAAUUAAUACAGUCAAAUUUCCUAUUUGCUAUAACUGGAUGUUUUAAAACAAUUAUUCUAUAGCGAGUUAGGCUGUGGGGCAUGGUAGUGGCGGAUUCAGGAAAAUUUUUCGGUGGGUUCGUUUUGAUGUAUUCUCACUAUUUUUUUUCAAAUCAUGCAAUGUUUUCACUAAUUUUUUUUUUCAUUUUUUUUGCAAACCAGGUGGGUUCAUAUGAACCAACAAAAUAGGGCUGGAUCCGCCAUGGGAAAUAGAGAUAAACUGAAUUCCAUUUAUUUAUUGAUGGUGGUUCGCGUGGAUUGAACCACGUUUAUCACGGCCCUCCCAUUUGAUGAUUUUGAGACAAAAAUAUACAAAAAAAAAAAAAAAAAUUAAGGGGUUAGUGGUUUGGGUCAUGACCUCACCCUUAGAGCAGUGGGUUUUUUUAUUGUGAAUUAGAGUUGGGUGACAUGAUGCCUAUGUGGAGGGUCAUGGUGGUCAUGACCACACCCUUUGGCCUUAGAGAUAUCACAUUAUAGAGCAUUUGACAUGUGGAGCUAUAGAUCUUAGUGUAAGACAUGUCGUGGGUGACAUGCGAUGAAGGCAUGGGGGCAUAUCGCGCGGGUGAGAUCUGAUCUUUAAUAUAAUAUAACCGUGUUUUUGUUUGUGAACAAGUAGACUAGGGAUUGAGAGGGUGAUUGAGAAAGAGAGUGGCGUUCUGAUUUCUGAGUUGUUGAUGGAGAAUUAAGGAUAAAGUCGAGUUGUGAAAACUAACUAUGAGAGUGACAUUUGCGUUAUUAAAGGUGUUUUGGACCCAAAAAAGGAUGUGUGACAACACACAUUGCUUCAGCUAUUGUUAUUACUAUUAUUACAGUACCACUGGAUUAACUUUUCAAACCUAACAAUAUGAUUUAUCAUUAUUACUAAAAUACAAUUGGUUGGUGAUUGCGUGGUCAAAACUACUUGCAUAAAUCAUCGCCCGAUGAUAAAUAGAGCAUGAAUCGAGGCAAUUAAGAACGAACGACAUCAUGGCUGAGGAAAGAACUGGGAUGCGAGAGCUUAAGUACUACUUAUUUGCUGCCAGAACUUUGACUGUUGACGAUGGACAUGAAGGUUCGCACGGAGCUGCUAGCAACGCAACUGAAAGUGGCACGACUCAUAAUGAGCCAAGACCUGGUGCCCAAGGAACACAAGUCCUGAAGGACAAUGUAAACAUGUGUUUGUAACUGUAGUAACAUCUGCAUGUUGUGUAUAUUAUUUUAACUUAAUGCCAUGUUUUACGUAUAUGUGGGUAGCCUGUAGCUGCUAAUUUGUAAGAAAAGAAAUAAUUGAGUGCGGAAUUUAGAGAGAGACAGACGACUGCUUGCUCAUAUCUUAAUUUAUAUGUUAAAGUAUUUCAUAUUUAGGGCUGAAAAUUGAGUUCUUUUUGUCUUUAUUUUAGGGUUAGAAGAACACGUUGCAAAUGGAAGCACAAAAUGGCGAUGGCAAGUCAAAGAUGGGAGAUUGUGAAGUUCUUGAGCAAGAUUGGUCGAUGAGCUUUCCUGCAAUAGGUUGUGUUUAUAGAUAAAAAAGCUCAUUAACGAUGUGAAGUUUGUCGAUAUUCAAUAAUGUGUGGUUUUCAGGCCACUUAGUGAUGAUGAUGACGUGAGGGCAAAGCCAGCUCUUGUGGUUACUUGAAAUAAGGAUAAACAAGAAGUAAUUAAUACCUAAAACAUGG